AGUAGAGAGACAGUAGAGAGACAGUAAGAGCAGUAGGAGACAGUAAGAGCAGUAGAGAGACAGUAAGAGCAGUAGAGACACAGUAGAGAGACAGUAAGAACAGUAGAGAGACAGUAAGAGCAGUAGAGAGACAGUAAGAGCAGUAGAGAGACAGUAAGAGCAGUAGAGACAGUAUAAGAACAGAGAGACAGUAGAGAGAGAGACAGUAGAGAGAGACAGUAAGAACAGUAGAGAGAGACAGUAGAGAGAGAGUAGAGAGAGACAGUAAGAACAGAAAGACAGUAGAGAGACAGUAAGAGCAGUAGAGAGACAGUAAGAGCAGUAGAGAGACAGUAAGAGCAGUAGAGAGACAGUAAGAGCAGUAGAGAGACAGUAAGAGCAGUAGAGAGACAGUAAGAACAGUAGAGAGACAGUAGAGAGAGACAGUAAGAACAGAGACACAACAGUAGAGAGAGACAGUAAGAACAGUAGAGAGACAGUAAGAACAGUAGAGAGACAGUAAGAACAGUAGAGAGACAGUAAGAACAGAGAGACAGUAAGAACAGAGAGACAGUAAGAACAGAGAGACAGUAAGAACAGUAGAGAGACAGUAAGAACAGUAGAGAGACAGUAGAGAGACAGUAAGAACAGUAGAGAGACAGUAAGAACAGAGAGACAGUAAGAACAGAGAGACAGUAGAGACAGUGACAGUAGAGAGACAGUAGAGAGACAGUAGAGAGACAGUAGAGAGACAGUAAGAACAGUAGAGAGACAGUAAGAACAGUAGAGAGACAGUAAGAACAGUAGAGAGACAGUAAGAACAGUAGAGAGACAGUAAGAACAGUAGAGAGACAGUAAGAACAGUAAGAACAGUAGAGAGACAGUAAGAACAGUAGAGACAGUAAGAACAGUAGAGAGACAGUAGAGAGACAGUAGAGAGACAGUAAGAACAGUAGAGAGACAGUAAGAACAGUAGAGAGACAGUAAGAACAGUAGAGAGACAGUAAGAACAGAGAGACAGUAAGAACAGUAGAGAGACAGUAGAGAGACAUAGAGAGACAGUAAGAACAGUAGAGAGACAGUAGAGAGAGACAGUAAGAACAGUAGAGAGACAGUAAGAACAGUAGAGAGACAGUAAGAACAGUAGAGAGACAGUAAGAACAGUA
ensembl:lncRNA